AUGAACGCUGGCGGCGUGCCUAAUACCUGCAAGUCGAGCGAACAGAUGAGGAGCUUGCUCCUCUGACGUUAGCGGCGGACGGGUGAGUAACACGUGGAUAACCUACCUAUAAGACUGGGAUAACUUCGGGAAACCGGAGCUAAUACCGGAUAAUAUAUUGAACCGCAUGGUUCAAUAGUGAAAGACGGUUUUGCUGUCACUUAUAGAUGGAUCCGCGCCGCAUUAGCUAGUUGGUAAGGUAACGGCUUACCAAGGCAACGAUGCGUAGCCGACCUGAGAGGGGGAUCGGCCACACUGGAACUGAGACACGGUCCAGACUCCUACGGGAGGCAGCAGUAGGGAAUCUUCCGCAAUGGGCGAAAGCCUGACGGAGCAACGCCGCGUGAGUGAUGAAGGUCUUCGGAUCGUAAAACUCUGUUAUUAGGGAAGAACAAAUGUGUAAGUAACUAUGCACGUCUUGACGGUACCUAAUCAGAAAGCCACGGCUAACUACGU
rnacentral:rRNA from 1 species